GACGUAGGGCGCGAGCGUUGUCCGGAUUUAUUGGGCGUAAAGAGCUCGUAGGCGGCUUGUCGCGUCGUCCGUGAAAACUUGGGGCUCAACCCCAAGCUUGCGGUCGAUACGGGCAGGCUAGAGUUCGGUAGGGGAGACUGGAAUUCCUGGUGUAGCGGUGAAAUGCGCAGAUAUCAGGAGGAACACCGGUGGCGAAGGCGGGUCUCUGGGCCGAUACUGACGCUGAGGAGCGAAAGCGUGGGGGCGAACAGG
rnacentral:rRNA from 1 species